rnacentral:misc_RNA from 1 species
CCCACACACACUUAGCCAUGCCACAAACCAAAUCUCCAACAGCGCAUCGCCUACCUCUACAGCUGUCGCUGCUGCUGUUAAUCGUCAGCGGUGCUGCUGGCGUCUCCGUUGCGUCCUCGGCCAAUCUGCAGCCCUCGCCACGCUUUUUCUAUGCUGCGACGGCGGCGGCCACCCCACCAUCAGAUGCCGCCUCACAGACAAAGGUGCGUCUGCUGCGGCAGACAAACGGCGCAGCAGUACCCGAAGAUGAGGGAAGCUGUUGCCAGGGGGCAGCCGCCGAUGCUGGAACACCUGUAACGUUGCCAUUGGAACUUGCAACGGACUUGAGCAAUAUCACCGCCGACUACGAUGUCUCUGGCGAAAUGUCCUCCAAGGAAAACUUCAAACGCAGCGUCACCAGAUCUGCCAUACGGAAUGCCCAGCCUGCGAUCUGCUCGCCUCAGCCGACCAUUGUGGAGCUGAAACCGCCCAGCGAUGAGGCGGGGAACUUCAAUGUCUACUAUACGCCUGCAUGCACGCGCAUUAAUCGCUGCAAUGGCUGCUGCGGCUCCACAUUGAUCUCCUGCCAGCCCACGCAGACGGAGAAGGUUCAGAUGCGUGUGCGGAAAUUCGAACGUGGCGGCACAUCCAAGCGCAGCUCGGAAAUCAUUGUGGUGGAACAGCAUUUGGCGUGCCGCUGCGACUGCCGCAUCAAGGCCGAGGACUGCAAUGCGUAUCAGCUGUACAGGAGAGAAUUGUGCCGCUGCGAGUGCCAGAACACGGACGCCAGGGACAAGUGCUUGGAGCAGGCCGACAGCAAGUAUUGGGACGAUGCAAAUUGCACCUGUGCCUGCCGCUACAAUCAGAGCUGCACCACCGGCACCGUUUUCGAUGAGACGCAAUGCAAAUGCACCGAUAUCAAAAAUGUCGAGUAUUAUUCGUAAUUCGUUAACAAACACACACACAAACACACUGUUCCACUGUUCCAUUUUGUUGCCGAGAAAUUUGUUAAACAUAUUUGAAGAAUUUCAUAACCAUUUAAAAGAAAGAAAGAGAGAGAGAGAAAACUUAUCUUUGUGAUACUUUCCUGCAAAACGUAACUAAAAUUAGAAGCCAUUGGUUUAAGGCAAUUUAUUGUAAAAUGUAACUUAUAGUAGAGCUGUGUUGAGGCAAGAGAGAGAGAGAAAGAGGGAGAGGAGUGUGAUCCCCAGAAGGUUUCGUUGCAUUGUCCAUCGGCCCCCAUUGAUGUGGUGGAUCGCAAGCGUUUCAUUGUCCAGGCAGUGGAGGUAGAGCCCGACAACACCACUCUCUAUCAUGUGUAA